rnacentral:rRNA from 1 species
AUUGAACGCUGGCGGCAUGCCUUACACAUGCAAGUCGAGCGGCAGCACGGGUGCUUGCACCUGGUGGCGAGUGGCGCACGGGUGAGUAAUACAUCGGAACAUGUCCUGUAGUGGGGGAUAGCCCGGCGAAAGCCGGAUUAAUACCGCAUACGAUCUACGGAUGAAAGCGGGGGACCUUCGGGCCUCCCGCUAUAGGGUUGGCCGAUGGCUGAUUAGCUAGUUGGUGGGGUAAAGGCCUACCAAGGCGACGAUCAGUAGCUGGUCUGAGAGGACGACCAGCCACACUGGGACUGAGACACGGCCCAGACUCCUACGGGAGGCAGCAGUGGGGAAUUUUGGACAAUGGGCGAAAGCCUGAUCCAGCAAUGCCGCGUGUGUGAAGAAGGCCUUCGGGUUGUAAAGCACUUUUGUCCGGAAAGAAAUCCUUGGCCCUAAUACGGUCGGGGGAUGACGGUACCGGAAGAAUAAGCACCGGCUAACUACGUG